rnacentral:lncRNA from 1 species
AGCUGACCUGUGAACGCGUGUUGUUCCAAACCCACACCUGCACUGGGGAGGUGGUUUACUAUACAGCAAAAUCUGAUUGACGCACCUUCCUCAUCUCGGGUGAUGUAUGUGGGGCGUGGCAGGGAAUUCGGUGUGUCCGGAGCAUGGCAGGGCUGCCAGAAGGUGGGAAGAGAGAAGAGUGUGGCUGGGGCCAAGUGCGUUUCUGAUGGCCUGGACUGGCGGAAUGAGAACAGGUGAGGGACCACUAUUUCUUUCUGCAGGUGAGGAAGGCUGGGAACCAGGGCUUCCCCUGCUGGGCCCAGGGGCUUGACAGUCCUUUCACAGCUCUUUUCUUGAGACCCAGAGGCCAUCAACUCCCUGUGAAAGACUGGGAGGUGGGCUGGGCUGACAGAGGCGGGUGGAACUGAACUCCCCGGGACUCCCCAUGACACCUGCACAGCAGUGUUUAUUUAUUCCUUCAAUCUGAAUGGUUGUUUUUUACCUUCAGAAACUCCCUGGGGCUCCCUCUGUAUCAUUAGGUAGCAAAUGGAUUUGCAGGUAUUUAAUUAGGCUGGAAAAUUACAGCCAGCCAGAAGCCUUGACCAGGAUUCUCUUGCCUCCUGGGGAGGCCCCUCAGGCCAGGAAAUCAGGCCAGUUCCAGGGAAAGGGCCUCCUGCCAAGGUCCUGGCCAGUCCCACUGACCUGCCUCUAAGCUGCUGGAGUGACUUUGGACUCGUUGCUUCCCUGUCUGUCCUGGGAAGGGGCCCCAGCCCACGGCGUACCUGGUCCCCGCAGUUGCCAGUCUCAGGCAUCUCACCGCCCCUUCACCUGUCCUUAAACUCACUUCUGUCACGCCUUGGAGAGGGACCCUGGCAGCCACCCUCAGGAGGCUGCCCCCAGCCCCAGAGAGCGCUGGGCCUGUCGCCCUGGGCUCCUCCUGGUGUUCUGAGAACAUGGUGGAUCCUGAUCAGGCUGGGAGGGAAGCGACAGUGGUGCCCAGCAAAGCAGUCAUCCCGUCCGUGCCUGCACAUCUCCAGGGCUGGUAUUUGUUUAAUCGGCUUGCUUUUCUCUAAAAGCUUUUUUUAAAAAAUCAAAGUUGGAGGGUUUUUUGUAAUAAACUUUUUAUUUUAAAACAGUGUUAGAUUUACAAAAAUUUUGUGAAAAUAGUUGAGAUGGACUUACUUCUUUAACUUUAUUUUAAAAUGAAAUGUUUCAUUAUUUCCACAAAUGGGAAACCAGCAUGACUUGCCUCAACUAGACCUUAAUCUUAAAAAUGAACAGUGAAAGCAAAACAAUGUUAUUAAAUUUUCAAAACCGAAAUAAAAAAUUAACAGCCUGAUGCAAGCAGUAGUAAAUCUGAUCGAUUUACAAAAAUGCAGUCUGUGCAGUCAGCUGGGGUGUGUGUGUGUGUGUGUGUGUGUGUGUGUGUGUGUGUGUUCGCGCACAGGCGUAAGAAGAGGCAGGCAUAAACCCCUCCACAGUGCAGGGCCAUCACGGGGUGCCAUGUGACUUCCCCAUGGCCCACAUUAAUGACCCUCUGAGAGCUGUCCAAGGAACCCACCACCCAUAGCACAGCCUGCAUUUGCCGAGCACCUGCCUUGUGUGGGCACCAUCUGACAACUGACACAUAGUAACCCAUCACAGCCUCCCAGCAACCCGCUGGGGUGUGUGUGUGGGGGGUAGGUACUGUCAUUCCCUCCAGUGGUAAUGAAGAAACUGAGGCAGUUUAAGUAACUGGUUCAAGGCCACAGCCAGGAGCCACACCAAGGCAGCUGGGAGCCAAAGCCUACACUUUUAACUGCUGUGUUCUGCUAUCAAGAGCAGAAAAACAGAACUGCGUUUUAAAG